rnacentral:rRNA from 1 species
UACGUAGGGUGCAGGCGUUUGUCCGGAAUUAUUGGGCGUAAAGAGCUCGUAGGCGGUCUGUCGCGUCGGAUGUGAAAAUCCAGGGCUCAACCCUGGACCUGCAUUCGAUACGGGCAGACUAGAGUUCGGCAGGGGAGACUGGAAUUCCUGGUGUAGCGGUGAAAAUGCGCAGAUAUCAGGAGGAACACCGGUGGCGAAGGCGGGUCUCUGGGCAUUCCCUGACGCUGAGGCGCGAAAGCGUGGGGAGCAAACGGG